rnacentral:pre_miRNA from 1 species
AACUUCCGUAAUUCAUGUCGAGAUUUUGUCAAACACCAAUCCAUGAUAGCUGAUAAGAAUUCUCAGAUAAAUGAAGUG